AUGGUGUCUUUCCCAACCAAAUG
rnacentral:siRNA from 1 species